UGUGAAAAACUUAUGUUUUUGAAUUUCGUCUCGAGCUUUUCAAAAAUAUUCCUAGUGUUUUUUUCAUUUUUUUUUCAUUAUGUUCACGUAAAUAAAUUCAAUUCAACGUUGUUUCUUACAUACUCAUUCGUCACUAUGAGUUACCUGUAAGUACCUAUGUAUUUACAUUUUUAUAAUGUAAAUAUUUGCACACUUAUUUCAAACUUUCAGUAUGUUAUUUAAUAAACAAAUAUUUGUUAAAGAGAUUAGUUCACAAAGGUUUUAUUUAAUUUUUCCAUUUUCUUCCAUUUUGUACCAGUGUCUUCCAAGUGAACUAUAAAAUAAUAAACAACGUAACAUCCACGCGGAACACGUAAACAGUAGCUUUCUAGUUGACUUUUGACCUGGACAGGACCUUGGGAUAAAAUUAUCUGGCUGGCGUGGUGCGUUCCAAGCCCCCGAACACGCCUUUUCCGAACCUUUGGCGUACGGAGGCGUCUUAUCCUUGUGCACGCGUCACCCAGAUCGAACUUUGCUCAUCUCCACGCUUUCAAAGCGUGCUUUUGACGUCACACAAAGCUGCAUUCGAGCCAGGUUAGGGGCCUGUCAGUGACAUGGGGAAACGUUUACUUUGGCUGAUAACAGAAAAGGUGUAGCAAACACAGUCUUCAAUAAAAAACAUCGAUUAUUC